UGAGAUUCGUCGACUAAUCUCAUUCUCUAGGGGUUCUAAAACUUUUGGAAGCCUUUACAGAGACGUUCAAGUCCCAUACCACAAUCGAUCUGCAGCUCCUUGGUAAUUUGCUAACCCUUUUAGUUUCCUAAUCUGCGUUUGUAGCUCACGCUGGAAUCUCACUUUGUUUUUUGUUCAACUGCAGUUUGAUAGAGCCAAAAACGCAUUCCCAACCAAUAAGGUAAACACCUUCGUAGCAAAAACUUUUACGCUUUGAGCUCGACCGCUUAAAGCACUUAGACUCUGACUUCUCUGUCUGAAUCUGUAAUCGCCUCUGAUACUUGUUUAAUCUUCUGAAACCGUAGACUAAACCUUUUUCCAAAUUUAACCAUUCAGAUGAAUUUUGUGUUGAUUUCCUGUUACCGAUACUGAUUAACCUCCAUAUCUGUUUAUAUCCCUUUUGCGAGGUCCUUCAAUCUACUAACCAGGAACCUCGGGAUGCUUCAAGCUGACUACCUGAUUACCUUGAGAAGUCCUAGACACUUCUCGAAGCUUUUUCCAGGUAAGCUCUUUGUCAACAUAUCUGCUGCAUUCUCUGUAGUGUGAACCUUCUGAACCUUGACUGAACCCUGCUCAAUAACGUCGCGUAUGAAAUGAUAUUUCCUCGCAAUGUGUUUGGUUCUGUCAUGAUGCACACUAUUCUUUGCUAGGCAGAUUGCACUUUGUGAGUCGCAGUUUAGCUUGAAUGAAUCCGUUUUAAAUCCUAGCUCUUCACACAUAGCUAGUAACCAUAUGCCUUCUUUAGUAGCUUCUGCUAGUGCCAUGUACUCUGCUUCUGUAGUAGAUAGUGCAACUACUUGCUGUAGACAUGAUCUCCAACUUACCGUAUUGCCACCCACUAUGAACACAUAGGCUGAUACCGAUCUCCUUUUAUCUAAGUCCGCAGAAUAAUCUGAAUCUGAGAACCCUUCUAUGUCAAACUCCUCUGACUUAGUGAACGUUAGGCAAACGUUAGAUGCACCAUUUAAAUAUCUUAGGAUCCAUUUAACUGCUUCCCAGUGACUUCUUCCUGGAUUUGCCAUGAAUCUACUCACCACUCCAAUAGCAUAUCCCAAAUCUGGUCUUGAGCCGACCAUCGCAUACAUUAAACUCCCUACUGCGCUUGCAUAAGGAAUUGUAUCCAUAGCAUCUCUCUCUGCUUCUAUUUCUUCAGGUCUUAGGCUUCUUAGUUUAAACAGAGAAUUGCUAGGAGUCACAACUGCUUUACUCUCUUCCAUGUUGAAUGUCCUUAGAACUUGCUUGAUAUAUCUUUCUUGUGAAAGCUUUAGCACUCCAUUUUUUCGAUCUCUUUUGAUAUCCAUUCCAAGAAUUCUGGAUGCUGGUCCAAGAUCUUUCAUCUCAAACAUCUUGUUUAAAUUCUUCUGAAGACAAUUUAUCUUACCAAUGUCUCUAGCUGCUACGAGCAUAUCAUCAACAUAGAGUAAUAGAUAGAUCAAAUUCUCCACAGUCGUGCCUUUAGUGUAGACACACGGAUCCUUAUAACAGCGUGUGAAUCCUUGAGAUAUCAUGAACUCAUUAAACUUCUGAUUCCAUUGUCUAGGGGACUGUUUAAGUCCGUAUAGGGAUUUCUUUAGAAGGCACACCAUUUCUUCUUUUCCCUUUUCUAUAAACUCCUCAGGUUGCUCCAUGUAGAUUUUCUCUUCAAGAACUCCAUGUAGAAAAGCUGUUUUCCAAAUCAUAGUUAACCACUAUCGAUAGCAUGAUUCUUAUCGACACAUGUUUAACCACAGGUGCAAAUAUUUCAUUAUAGUCUAUCCCUUCAACUUGAGUGUAUCCUUUUCCUACUAGACGUGCUUUGAAUCUAGGAUCCUCGAUCCCUGGAAUCCCUUCUUUGUACUUAUAAAUCCACUUACAUCCAAUCAUCCUUUGUUUCUCUGGUCUUGGAACUAGAGUAAAUGUAUCAUUCUUGUCAAGAGAUGAUUUCUCUUCUGUCAUGGCUUCCUUCCACUUUUUCCAGUGUUUGCUACGCUUAGCCUCAGUAACUGUUCUUGGCUCAUCCAGCUUGAUGAUCGUAGCACAGGCCAGUGCAUAUGCGAUGACAGAAUCCCCAUCCUCGUACCUUGAUGGUGGUCUGAUCACUCUCCGUUCUCUAUCUCUUGCUAAUACAUAGUCAUCUAAGUCUAGACGUUCAGUCUGUUCCAAAUCUUCUCCCUCAGAAUCUUCAUCAGUUUCACUUGAAGACUUUGAGCUUUCUUGUUCUGAAUCUGCUCCACCUUGACCAGUAGACCUUGCAAUUUCUGAAUCAGCUCCACCUUGACUGGUGCAACCUUGAGUUGAUGGACCUUGUAUCAAUUCGGUUCUGAAAGUCACUUUCUUAGGUUUCUUAGGUUUCUCAAUCUUCUUCUCUGAAUCAUGAUACAACUUAUCCUCAUCAAAUACAACGUUUCUGCUGUUAGAGCAUUUACCAUCUUCUGGUAUCCACACUCUGUAACCUUUGACUCCUUGAGGAUAUCCCACGAAAACUCCUUUAACAGCCCUAGGACUCAUCUUGUCCUGUGUUAUGUGAACAUACGCCACACAUCCAAACCUUCUAAGGUGACUGUAAUCAACUUUCGACUCUGUCCAUAACUCUUCUGGGAUUUUAAAAUUCAAUGCUGCAUUUGGAGACCGGUUUAUUAGAUAUACUGCAGUACAAGCAGCUUCAGCCCAAAACAAUUUUUCCAAUCCUGACUCUGCUAGCAUACAUCGAAUCUUCUCAGCUAUAGUCCGAUUCAUUCUCUCUGCCACCCCAUUCUGUUGUGGGGUGUAAGUGCACGUUUUGUGCCUUUGGAACUCCAGAAUCACUGCACAGCUUAUCCAUUCUGACAUUACAGAACUCUAGACCGUUGUCUGUUCGUAGAUAAUUCAACCUUCUCUUGGUUGUUUUUUCAACAAGUACCUUCCAUUCUGAGAAAUUCUCGUAUACUUCAUCUUUGUUUCUUAGAAACCUUAUCCAAACCUUUCUAGAAUAGUCAUCAAUGAAAGUUAGGAAAUAUCUGCAGCGUGAUAAGCUUGGUUCAUUAGAGACUGAUCCCCAAAGAUCACUGUGUACAUAAUCAAGCCUCUCCUUUGAUGUGUGUCUGCCCUCCGGGAAACUUUGCUUAUGAGCUUUGCCAAAGACACAUUUUUCACAUAAAUCCAAAGUGUGCACUUCUUUAGGAUUCAAAUACCCUCCCUUGACCAAGAGAUUCAUGUUCUUCAAACUCAUAUGCCCUAGUCUGGAAUGCCAUCUGUUCGUUAGGUUUGUCUCUGCUCUAGCCACUGAUACUUCUCCUUUUAUGACAGAUCCUUGUAGAUAGUAUAAGCCAUCUUGAUAUUUUCCAGAUAGUACUUUCUUACCUUCUCGAUAGAAAGUGACUGUAAAAUUCUCCCCUUCAUACUUACAUCCAUUUUUCUCCAAUUGACCAUAGGAGAUAAGAUUUCUGCCCAUUGAUGGCAUGUAUCUCACAUCGCUUAGAAUGACUUGAGCUCCUUCAGAAUUUAUAAUUUUUAUUUUUCCAAUACCUUUGACUUCACAAUGGGUGUUGUUUCCUAAUAAGACUUUUCCACCGUCUAGUUCCUUGAAGUCAAAUAAUACUUCCCUUUCAGGUGUGAUAUGGAAAGUGCAGCCAGAAUCCAUUACCCAUUCCUUCAUAGGAUUGUGAGUGCUUGCAGUUAGGAUCAUAGGUUUCUCUUUGUCAUGAGCAACAUUAGCAGCUUCAUUCGAUUUCCAGUUCUUUUUGUCUGGACAAUCUUUCUUGUAAUGACCCUCUUUGCCGCAUGACCAGCAUUCUCUGGGUUUUCCUGGACCUCUUGGUCUCGACUUUGAUCUGUUGUUUCUGCUUUUAGAUCUACCUUUCCAUUUACCUUGAGAUUUAGACUCUGAUCUCCCUCUUUCUGCUAUUAGACCUUCUGCAUUUGAUCUUGUUUUGCCAAUAAGUCCAGCUUCUUUUAGCUCAACUUCUUUUGCAUAUGCAGAUGUGGUAACUUCUUGCAGUGUCAGAGUUUCCUUGCUGUUCCCGUACUUGAGCGUAUGUACUAAGGAAUCAAACUGCUUGGGCAAGCUCGAUAGAACCUGUAUUGCUUGAUCUUCAUCACUGAUUGUAAUGUUCAAGCUCUCCAGAUCAUCUACCAACCUCAAGAAAACAUCCAGGUUCUCUUCUACACUUCGAUGCUCUUCCAUCUUGUAACUAGCGAACCGUUGCUUUAGGUAGAUUCUGUUAGGUAAUGUCUUAGUUUGGUAAUCCUUCUCUAGUGCUUUCCAUACCCCUAGUGCAGUAGUCUGUUUCAUAACCUUUCGUAGUACCAGGUUACCAAGACUAGCACAAAUCAUGUUCUUAGCACGCUUGUCCAUCUCCUUCCGAGUAAGACCCCCUGUACCGGGUUUAGUCUCCUUAUCACCAUCCUUGUCUGUCUCUGAUGUAGAACUAGUGUCUUCUUCAUUAAGCACACUGUCAAGAUCAGCAUUUUCAAGUUGCAUCUGCAUCUUGAAUUUCCACAUACCAAAAUCCCCUUUUCCAUCAAACUUUUCCACCUCAAUCUUGACUUUAGACUUCUUCAUGAUCUCACCAACAAUCGUGAAAUCAACACCAGCUAGAGUCUAGGUUUAAUAACCACCAGAACGCAGCUAAGACCACUGAAACCGUUCCUUUAUAAACCUAACCUGAGGGCUCUGAUACCACUUGUAAGGUUUAGUUAUAGGAUUGCUUAACUUAGACCUUAAUCCUUUAGCUAGUUUGUUCACUAACUUGACCAAUUAACCUUGAUACGAUUUAUGUUUGAUGUUUGUUAGAUUGUGUAAGAGACAAAGACACAAGACUUUGUUAACCCAGUUCCCGUUGAGGUACGUCUGGGGGAAGAUCUGUGCUUCCAAUUCACUAUCUCAAGUAUAAAGGAGUUAAUACAAAGAGAUAAUAGCUCUAGCAACUUCUACACCAAAGCUAAGAGCUAAGAACUAUCAACCUAGUUCUUUUUGUCUGCAACACAACAUGUAACUCUCUCGCUAUCUCUUAACCGUGAAGUAGCUCUGAAACCUGAACCUCUUCAAUCUGAUUAUCUUUUUAUUCUUCUCACGUAACCUUCAAGUUUUCCUUAUAUAUGCAGAUAACUCCUGAAAGCCUUAGACGAAACAGGCCUUCUGAUCCAAACAUAUCAGCUGACCCAAUAAGUGUACACCACAGAAUGGGCCUUAUGUCAAACUUGUCGGAGCCCACACGGAGGUUUAGAGACAAUAACCUCACAGUGUACUUCAGUUAAGUUCGGAUCCAUCUUCGGUUUUCAGAUUUAUCUGAAGCGGAAUCCAAAGUCCAAUGUAUUUGACACUAGCCCAGUUCUGGUAUUUUAAUUGGGAUAAUUAAGGGAUCCAAAACCAAAGCUAUACGACCCACUUCGGUUCGGUUUCGGGUUUUGGGUAUUAUGCCCGACCCUGGUCUAAGUCGUCUUUGGUAAUUGUGAAUGAAAUGUGAUGUGUGUGUGAGAUUCAUAAUGAACGUAUUCAUGAUUUUUGGUUUCGUUAUGUUAGGUAAGACAGAGAGAAAUUUAUAUUUACCAUGUAAAUUAUACUUUCCGUUUACCAUGUAGAAUCCUAGUGUGAAUGAAAUAUAUCGAUGAAUGAAAUAUAUCGAUUAGAG
rnacentral:lncRNA from 1 species